CUUGGUCAUUUAGAGGAAGUAAAAGUCGUAACAAGGUUUCCGUAGGUGAACCUGCGGAAGGAUCAUUAUUGAAUAAACUUGGUCGGGUUGUGCUGGUCUCUUGGGACAUGUGCACGCCUGGCACCAUUUUUAACCACCUGUGCACCCUUUGUAGACCUGGAUACCUCUCGGGGAAACUCGGUUUGAGAACUGCCGCGCGAAAGCCUGCUUUUCUUGCAUUUCCGGUCUAUGUCUUUAUAUAAACCCACAAGAAUGUAACAGAAUGUCAUUAAUGGCCUUUGUGCCUUUAAAUAAAAUACAACUUUCAACAACGGAUCUCUUGGCUCUCGCAUCGAUGAAGAACGCAGCGAAAUGCGAUAAGUAAUGUGAAUUGCAGAAUUCAGUGAAUCAUCGAAUCUUUGAACGCACCUUGCGCUCCUUGGUAUUCCGAGGAGCAUGCCUGUUUGAGUGUCAUUAAAUUCUCAACCUUUCUAGCCUUUACUGGCGGGACCAAGGCUUGGAUGUGGGGGCUGCGGGCUUCUCAGAAGUCGGCUCUCCUUAAAUGCAUUAGCGAAACAUUUGCUGACCAUCUCUGGUGUGAUAAUUAUCUGCGCCACUGAGAAGCAGCUGAUUUGGCUUCUAACCGUUCUUCACCGGACAGCUCUUGACAUUUUGACCUCAAAUCAGGUAGGACUACCCGCUGAACUUAAGCAUAUCAAUAAGCCGGAGGAAA
rnacentral:rRNA from 1 species